CAGCAGCCGCGGGAAUACAGAGGGUGCGAGCGUUAAUCGGAUUUACUGGGCGUAAAGCGUGCGUAGGCGGCUUCUUAAGUCGGAUGUGAAAUCCCUGAGCUUAACUUAGGAAUUGCAUUCGAUACUGGGAAGCUAGAGUAUGGGAGAGGAUGGUAGAAUUCCAGGUGUAGCGGUGAAAUGCGUAGAGAUCUGGAGGAAUACCGAUGGCGAAGGCAGCCAUCUGGCCUAAUACUGACGCUGAGGUACGAAAGCAUGGGGAGCAAACAGGAUUAGAUACCCCCGUAGUCCCUGUCUCUAUACA
rnacentral:rRNA from 1 species